GGGUUGAGUAACGCGUUGAGUAACCUGCUCCUGGAGUGGGGGAACAACAGUUGGAAACGACUGCUAAUACCGCAUAAGCCCACGAUCCGGCAUCGGAUUGAGGGAAAAGGAUUUAUUCGCUUCAGGAUGGACUCGCGUCCAAUUAGCUAGUUGGUGAGGUAACGGCCCACCAAGGCGACGAUUGGUAGCCGGACUGAGAGGUUGAACGGCCACAUUGGGACUGAGACACGGCCCAGACUCCUACGGGAGGCAGCAGUGGGGGAUAUUGCACAAUGGGGGAAACCCUGAUGCAGCGACGCCGCGUGGAGGAAGAAGGUUUUCGGAUUGUAAACUCCUGUCGUUAGGGACGAUAAUGACGGUACCUAACAAGAAAGCACCGGCUAACUACGUGCCAGCAGCCGCGGUAAAACGUAGGGUGCAAGCGUUGUCCGGAUUACUGGGUGUAAAGGGAGCGCAGGCGGACCGCAAGUUGGAAUGAAACUAUGGCUCAACCCAUNAAAUGCUUUCAAAACUGCUGGCCUUGAGUAGUGCAGAGGUAGGUGGAAUUCCCGGUGUAGCGGUGGAAUGCGUAGAUAUCGGGAGGAACACCAGUGGCGAAGGCGACCUACUGGGCACCAACUGACGCUGAGGCUCGAAAGCAUGGGUAGCAAACAGGAUUAGAUACCCUGGUAGUCCAUGCCGUAAACGAUGAUUACUAGGUGUUGGAGGAUUGACCCCUUCAGUGCCGCAGUUAACACAAUAAGUAAUCCACCUGGGGAGUACGACCGCAAGGUUGAAACUCAAAGGAAUUGACGGGGGCCCGCACAAGCAGUGGAGUAUGUGGUUUAAUUCGAAGCAACGCGAAGAACCUUACCAGGUCUUGACAUCCGAUGCAUAGUGCAGAGAUGCAUGAAGUCCUUCGGGACAUCGAGACAGGUGGUGCAUGGUUGUCGUCAGCUCGUGUCGUGAGAUGUUGGGUUAAGUCCCGCAACGAGCGCAACCCUUAUUGCCAGUUACUACGAAAGAGGACUCUGGCGAGACUGCCGUUGACAAAACGGAGGAAGGUGGGGAUGACGUCAAAUCAUCAUGCCCUUUAUGACCUGGGCUACACACGUACUACAAUGGCGUUUAACAAAGAGAAGCAAGACCGCGAGGUGGAGCAAAAACUCAAAAAACAACGUCUCAGUUCAGAUUGCAGGCUGCAAACUCGCCUGCAGAAAGUCGGAAUUGCUAGUAAUCGCGGAAUCAGGCAUGGCCGCGGGUAAAUACGUUCCCGGGGCCCUU
rnacentral:rRNA from 1 species